rnacentral:lncRNA from 1 species
CUUGAGGAACACCUACUACAUUAUUCUGCUCGCUGUAUUCCAGCAUUAAGAAAGCCUGGUGCCCAAUCUAGAACAUGUCUGCUAGAAACUUGGACUUCCACAAAGAUCUCUCAUUUGUGGGUGAUUGUUUAAGAGUGUGUUCUCCAGCUGCUCCCAGGCCACAUCCAAGAGAGGCAGAGACUGGAGCAGUUUCAUGGUCCACUUCAGGGUCCACAGUUGGAACCAAGGAGAUUCUGGAUGCUGGGCUGAUGACAAAAGUGGAUGACUG